rnacentral:rRNA from 1 species
UACGAAGGGUGCAAACGUUGCUCGGAAUUAUUGGGCGUAAAGAGCUCGUAGGCGGUUUGUCGCGUCUGCCGUGAAAGUCCGGGCUUCAACUCCGGAUCUGCGGUGGGUACGGGCAGACUAGAGUGAUGAGGGGGAGACUGGAAAUUCCUGGUGUAGCGGUGAAAUGCGCAGAGUAUCAGGAGGAACACCGAUGGCGAAGGCAGGGUCUCUGGGCAUUAACUGCGCUGAGGAGCGAAAGCAUGGGGAGCGAACAGG